AUGAACGCUGGCGGCGUGCCUAAUACAUGCAAGUCGAGCGAACAGACGAGGAGCUUGCUCCUCUGACGUUAGCGGCGGACGGGUGAGUAACACGUGGAUAACCUACCUAUAAGACUGGGAUAACUUCGGGAAACCGGAGCUAAUACCGGAUAAUAUAUUGAACCGCAUGGUUCAAUAGUGAAAGACGGUUUUGCUGUCACUUAUAGAUGGAUCCGCGCCGCAUUAGCUAGUUGGUAAGGUAACGGCUUACCAAGGCAACGAUGCGUAGCCGACCUGAGAGGGUGAUCGGCCACACUGGAACUGAGACACGGUCCAGACUCCUACGGGAGGCAGCAGUAGGGAAUCUUCCGCAAUGGGCGAAAGCCUGACGGAGCAACGCCGCGUGAGUGAUGAAGGUCUUCGGAUCGUAAAACCCUGUUAUUAGGGAAGAACAAAUGUGUAAGUAACUAUGCACGUCUUGACGGUACCUAAUCAGAAAGCCACGGCUAACUACGUG
rnacentral:rRNA from 1 species